rnacentral:rRNA from 1 species
CCAGAGUUUGAUCAUGGCUCAGGACGAACGCUGGCGGCGUGCUUAACACAUGCAAGUCGAACGGAGAGGGAUGGGAGCUUGCUCCUAUUAAUCUUAGUGGCGAACGGGUGAGUAACGCGUAACCAACCUGCCCUUCAGUGGGGGAUAACAACGGGAAACCGUUGCUAAUACCGCGUACGAUUUCCGAGUGGCAUCGCUUGGAAAUGAAAGGUGGCCUCUAUUUAUAAGCUAUCGCUGAAGGAGGGGGUUGCGUCUGAUUAGCUAGUUGGAGGGGUAACGGCCCACCAAGGCAAUGAUCAGUAGCCGGUCUGAGAGGGUGAACGGCCACAUUGGGACUGAGACACGGCCCAAACUCCUACGGGAGGCAGCAGUGGGGAAUCUUCCGCAAUGGACGAAAGUCUGACGGAGCAACGCCGCGUGAGUGAUGACGGUCUUCGGAUUGUAAAGCUCUGUUAAUCGGGACGAAAGAGCUCUGUGUGAAUAAUGCAGAGAAGUGACGGUACCGGAAUAGAAAGCCACGGCUAACUACGUGCCAGCAGCCGCGGUAAUACGUAGGUGGCAAGCGUUGUCUGGAAUUAUUGGGCGUAAAGCGCGCGCAGGCGGGUUUUUAAGUCUGUCUUAAAAGUUCGGGGCUUAACCCCGUGAGGGGAUGGAAACUGGAAACCUAGAGUAUCGGAGAGGAAAGCGGAAUUCCUAGUGUAGCGGUGAAAUGCGUAGAUAUUUGGAAGAACACCAGUGGCGAAGGCGGCUUUCUGGACGAAAACUGACGCUGAGGCGCGAAAGCCAGGGGAGCAAACGGGAUUAGAUACCCCGGUAGUCCUGGCCGUAAACGAUGGGUACUAGGUGUAGGAGGUAUCGACCCCUUCUGUGCCGGAGUUAACGCAAUAAGUACCCCGCCUGGGGAGUACGAUCGCAAGGUUGAAACUCAAAUGAAUUGACGG